CAUGCAAGUCGCACGGUCAGCAAUGGCAGUGGCGGACGGGUGAGUAACACGUAGGAAUCUAUCCCAGGGUGGGGGACAACAGCGGGAAACUGCUGCUAAUACCGCAUGAUACCUGAGGGUCAAAGGCGCAAGUCGCCUUGGGAGGAGCCUGCGUCUGAUUAGCUAGUUGGUGGGGUAAAGGCCUACCAAGGCGACGAUCAGUAGCUGGUCUGAGAGGAUGAUCAGCCACAUUGGGACUGAGACACGGCCCAAACUCCUACGGGAGGCAGCAGUGGGGAAUAUUGGACAAUGGGGGAAACCCUGAUCCAGCAAUGCCGCGUGUGUGAAGAAGGUCUUCGGAUUGUAAAGCACUUUUGGCAGGGACGAUGAUGACGGUACCUGCAUAAUAAUCCCCGGCUAACUUCGUGCCAGCAGCCGCGGUAAUACGAAUGGGGCUAGCGUUGCU
rnacentral:rRNA from 1 species